rnacentral:misc_RNA from 1 species
AACGGUCUAUACCUGCGGUACCUGCGGAAGGAUCAUUACCGAGUUAUCAACUCCCAAACCCCUGUGAACAUACCCGAACGUUGCCUCGGCGGGACCGCCCCGGCGCCCCUAGCGGCCCGGAACCAGGCGCCCGCCGGAGGACCCAAACUCUUGCUUUAAACAGUGGCAUACUCUCUGAGUCUCACAAACAAAAAAUAAAUCAAAACUUUCAGCAAUGGAUCUCUAGAUCGGAAGAGCACA